rnacentral:lncRNA from 1 species
AUUACAAAAUAUUGAGUAUGAGCAGAUUGAUACUUAUCUUAAAAUUAGUUUUAGAAGAGCUCAAGUUGCUGAUUUUCAGCUUUUCAAAUUUGAGAGUGAAGUCUCCCCCUUUUUUAUCCAAAUAUUGCCAAUUUAAACUUUUGAUUUUCUCCCCCUUUCUUUUAUAUUUGGUUAAAGAUGAAACUUCAAAAAUUUGAGAUAAAACAAGAGUUUCAAAUUAUGUAUCGAGGUAUGAGAGGUAUGUGCCAAAUUCUGAAAUUUGAUUGAAAGUUUAGACUUUAAUAUUUUCAUUGUUACAUAUUGCUCCCCCUUAAGUGUAUAUUAUCUCCUAUUAUAUUUUUCAACCUCGUUUGUCAACUUAUUGCAAUUUCUUUCUU